AGUGAACGCUGGCGGUAGGCCUAACACAUGCAAGUCGAACGGCAGCACAGUAAGAGCUUGCUCUUACGGGUGGCGAGUGGCGGACGGGUGAGGAAUACAUCGGAAUCUACUUUUUCGUGGGGGAUAACGUAGGGAAACUUACGCUAAUACCGCAUACGACCUACGGGUGAAAGCAGGGGAUCUUCGGACCUUGCGCGAUUGAAUGAGCCGAUGUCGGAUUAGCUAGUUGGCGGGGUAAAGGCCCACCAAGGCGACGGUCCGUAGCUGGGCUGAGAGGAUGAUCAGCCACACUGGAACUGAGACACGGUCCAGACUCCUACGGGAGGCAGCAGUGGGGAAUAUUGGACAAUGGGCGCAAGCCUGAUCCAGCCAUACCGCGUGGGUGAAGAAGGCCUUCGGGUUGUAAAGCCCUUUUGUUGGGAAAGAAAAGCAGCAGGUUAAUACCCCGCUGUUCCGACGGUACCCAAAGAAUAAGCACCGGCUAACUUCGUG
rnacentral:rRNA from 1 species